UCUUUUUUCCUGAACCUGGUGGGGGAGGGCCAGUUGUGACCUGCCUUCUAUUAGAGGAUAUUUUCCUCCAGAUUUGUCCAAACCGGCACACCAAGUCAAGCAGUUAAAACUGAAGGACCCAACAGUUUCAGGAGUACUUAAUCAGAAGCCCCUAGAUACUAAGAAGCAAGAGGAAAUAUUUCCAAUGUGUAAACCCAGUUCAUCACUAUGCUUUCCACUGAGAGAAAUUAUCCCAACUUAAAAGGCAACAAUGAAAUAUUUUGGCAGAACUACUUUGUCAAUUAAUAUAUCUUCUUUCUUCUGUUGACUACCUAUUCUCUAUCUUCUUGGAGUUCAACACUUGGGAGUCACUGAAGACCAACUUCCAUAGAUGUCAAGGGUAACUGAGUCAACAAUAAGAGAUGAUGGCAUUUGAUGCAUCGUUGAAUGUAAUAGUUUCUGCAUUUUCUUAUUUCUUCUUCAUCUUUAUCUACUGGACCUAAAUUAUAUUCAAUUGCAUCAUUUCCAAAUAAUUUUCUUUCUGUGAAAAGUUCACAUAUGGUAAUUUUUUUUUACUGUGUGCUAAUAAUAAUUAGACUUUUUCAUGCCUUUAUGUUCAAAUCUGAGAAGUGACACAAGAUAAAAUACUUCAUUCCAUUAUUUUUUUAGUAACAGAAAAAAUACUUCAGUUUUAACUUAUGAUACAACACUUUACUUGCUUUCUGGGCCUGAAUUUGGAAAACCCUUUGAGAAUUUAAACCUUGAUAUAUUGUUUAAGAAAACAGUUGUCUACUGUUCUUGAGAAACAAGAUCUUCUCUUUUGUGUAAUACCUGUUUUAGCAAAUUAAAGACAUAUUUUUACUCACUUAUUUGCCUCAUAGAUUGGAACUGCUGGACAGACACGUAGCAAACAAACAGGCUUUACAUGAGAAUUUUAGAAUACUGACUGAAAUAUCCUGCACAUAUACCUAACAUACAGUAGAUGUACUGUUGGAUGAGUUAUGGUGUAGAUACACACAAGGGAACUUUGGCUUUAAGGUUUGGUAGCUGAGGAGAAAGAUUUGCUGUUGUGCAGUUCCUCCUCUACACAAUGAAUUUGUUCUGAAUCUUUAUCUCCACUUGCAUCAAAAUACCCACAAAAUCAUUCAGAUUGUCUCUGAACAGCAUUGUGAGCUGCAUUUCUGGCAUUUCAUCUGAGUAGUGAGAGUGUCAUCAAAGUAAAUGCAGCUUUUUCUGUUGUUUCCCUCCCCCUUUCAAAGCUGUUAAUAGAGUUCAACUGUUAUCCUAAACAGCAUUUACCCUCCAAACACUAUAUUAAUUUCAUGCAUAAAAGGAAGAUGUGUAAGUUGCUCGCUGUGAGACAUGGAAGGACUGGCAGAAGGAGUAGCUGUGUGGGCUUAGCCAAUGUAUGGUGCCAUCAAUACAGUUUUACAUGGAAUGUCACAGGAGCGGAAUUAGACUCAUGCCAGGUGCUGUUUGGACAUUUAAUUUUGUUAUUGUAAUUUGUAUAUCUGUCUACUAAGGACACAAGAGAGAAAGAAAAGGAAGGAAUCUAACAAGGGUUGUCAGUUCAGGCCCCACUUUAUUCUUAGUGACAAACCUACCUCACAUUUUCUCUCAGAUUUCACGUGAUGGCUUAGAAGUGCAAGGGCAGUUUCCAAGGACAUGUAGCAUUUCCUCUAUUAAUCUUUUUUCUCUUUCUUUUUCUUUUUUUUUUUGACAAAACUUACAAAUUUUCACAUUUAUCCACAAAUGGUUUUUUUCCUGCCCUCUGUAUGACCAGAACAGCAAAAAACAUACUUGCCAAAUGGCUCAUCUAAAUUGUUUCCAAUUGCAACUGCAAUAAUUGUCCAUUUAUCUUUUUUGUUCAGGGAUCCCAAAUCCUUUUACAAAGACUUAUAAUUCAAGGAAGUUGAGAAGGACUGGAGAAUAGAGACUGAGAUAUUUAAUCUCCAUUUUUAUGCAGUUAUCAAUCUUCUUUAUGAGAAUUUUAAGGCUCCUCUUCCAUGAAAUGUUUGUACAUGUAGCUGUUUUCCCUAUACAAUGUUGAAACAUGGGUACUAGAUAACGUUUUAGGUGUUGCACAGAAGUUCUGUAAGGACCUACUUUUGAGGUGGUAAAGACAGUAGGAAAAAUUCAAACAGCAGCAGAAAAAAAUAAAACCUUACAUUCAACCCUUUUCCUUGUUUUUGUGUUGUAUCUGCUACUAUGUUACUAACUUAAAUUUAUAUUCAGUUCAUGUGUAGCACAUACUAGGACAUUUUCUAUCCUCAACACUAUGUUUUACUGUUUUGUUUCAUAAACAACUAAACCAAUGAAAUAGUACUGAGUGAAAAGAUACUUCAGAAUUUAAGAAAAGGGGAAUAAAGUUUCAUUCUCUUGCA